rnacentral:lncRNA from 1 species
GCCUUCUGUGGCCAGCCUGUAGGACAAAACUUAUUUUUGACCAAAAAAUGGGGGAGAUUGUUAAUGUAGAAUCUCACUUCAGAGGGUCGAUUGCCCAGUUCAUUGAGAAUCAGUGAAAGGUCAGAGUCCCUGGGUCCUGGCCCCUGUUUGUCUGUUCUGUUUUCCUUGCUGGUCUUUAGAAAGAAGAACGGAGAUGUGGUCCUUCCUAUCUCUCUUCUGUUGAAAUAACACCUGCCCAGUAGAAGCAUAUCUCAGUCUCACUCAGAGAAAAGAAAAGCAGUGAUUGGAGAGUGAAGACAGGUGGUCUGGGUGGGUGGGCAGAUUCUGGCUAUCAGGCACAGAUGUGUAACACUGGAAUGACAUAUAUGCCUCUUCUCUGUGUCUUAGCUCGCUCUCACUGUGAGGUUCACAGCAAGGGCUGGGGACAGCCCUGGGUUGGAAUCCUGACUCAACUGUUCUUAGCUGUGAUGUUCCUGAACAAGCUACUUUGUCCCUCUGAGUGACUGAUGCUUCUCUGUAAAGUGGGGAUGCUCUAGGCAGCCACAUCCCAGGGAUACCUGAGAACUUAGUGAGUUAUCACCUGCAGUGUGACUGGAAGAGUGCAUUGUCAUGAUAAUGGUGAAGAUCAUGGUGAUGGUGGUGAUAUGAUAAUAACGAUGAUGAUGAUAAUGAUGAUGGUGAUGAUAACAAUAGAUAAUGAUAAUAAUGAUAGUGACUAUAUUGAUGAUGAUGGUGAUGAUGGUGAUAAUGAUGAUCAUAAUGGUGAUGAUGAUGAUGGUGAUUACGGUAAUGGUGAUAACAGUGAUGAUGAUAAUGAUGGUGAUACGAGUGGAUAAUGAUGUAAUGAUAGCGAUGAUGAAAGUGAUGAUGAUGAUGGUAAUGAUGAUGGUGAUGAUAAUGAUGGUAAUGAUGGUGAUGAUGAUGAGGGCAAUGAUAACGAUGGUGGUGAUGGUGGUGAUGAUGAUGGUAAUGAUGAUGAUGGUGAUGAUCAUGGUGGUGGUGAUGGUGGUGAUGAUGGCGAUGGUGCCAAUGGUGAUGAUGAUGGUGAUGAUGAUGGUGAUGGUGAUGAUGGUGAUAGUGAUGAUGUUGGUGUUGAUGAUGAUGGUGAUGGUGGUGGUGAUGGUGAUGAUGAUGGAGAUGAUGAUGUUGAUGGUGAUGACGAUGAUGGUGAUAAUGAUGACGAUGGUGAUGAUGAUGGUGAUGAUGAUGUUGAUGGUAAUGAUGAUGGUGAUGGUAAUGAUGAUGGUGAUGAUGAUGGUGAUGGUGAUGAUGUUGGUGAUGAUGAUGGUGAUGAUGAUGAUGGUGAUGGUGAUGAUGAUGGUGAUAGUGAUGAUGAUGGUGGUGAUGGUGACGAUGAUGAUGAUGGUGAUGAGGGUAAUGAUGAUGGUGAUGAUGAUGAGGGUAAUGAUGAUAUGAUGAUGAUGGUGAUGAUGAGGGUAAUGAUGAGGGUAAUGAUGGUGGUGAUGAUGAUGGUAAUGAUAAAGAUGAUGAUGAUGAGGGUAAUGAUGAUGAUGAGGGUAAUGAUAAUUAGGGUAAUGAUGAUGGCAAUGAUGAUGGUCAUGAUGAAGGUAAUGAUGAGGGUGAUGAUGAUGAUGACAAUGAUACUGCCAAUAACAAUGGAUGAUGAGGAGAAGGAAGAGGAUGAUGACGAUAAUGAUGGCAUGAUGAUGAUAAAAAUGGAUGAUGAAGUGGAUGAUGAUGGUGGUGGUGGUGGUGGUGGUGGUGGUGAUGAUGUAUAGAUACUUCCUGGGUCGAAUCCUCAGGUUUCUUCAGUAUUUACAGUGAAGAGCUUUACAUGUGUCCAUUUUCAAAGCUUCUCCCUGUGAGUGCAUCAACUUCAUAUUUUCACCCUAUGCUGAAUUGUCCUCCCUGCCUGGGAAGCUUGAUAUUCCAUUCCAUGACUUCAUAAUCUAUAAGAUUUCUAUUUCUUUGAGCUGUGAUUUUUUUCCUUUAGUAUUUGUGCUUUAUUCUACUUUCUAAACCUGUGCCUGCACCAAUGAUUUGCCCUGCUGUGAAGAUAGAAAUGGCGCUUCCUUCUUUCCUCUGGUAAUUUUGAGAUGUGUGAGUUUCUGCCCUGGGGUUUUUAGUUUUCUCAAACUGCAGGGGGUUAAUUAGUUUGGUUACUUCACAAUAGCAUUUACAGUUUUCUUAUUAACUGGGAAGAUAUCCAAGGACUCCUACUCUUCAUUGGGGUCUUUUGCAAGGUUUUAGUCACGAGGAUGGGUGGUAGAACUUGCAGAGAAGCCAGAAACAAGGAGAGAUCUGAAUCACUGAAAUCACCUCUAGCUGUCCUCAAAAAGUCAUGGGGCUCAGUUUGUCUUUUUGGUUUGACCAAGGAGAGAAAUAUUAGACAACGCAUAGCUUAAUUGUUCAACUAUUCAUUUUCUACAGACUUUGCUUAAAAACACUUAAAAAGCACAAGUUAUCAAGGUACUUUAAGUUGGGAGAUUGGGAAAAGAUUGAAGAGAAAAAAAAAUCAGGGUCUUAAAGCCAGCAAAGAGGUUUUUCCUGUACCUAAAAAUCUCAAAAGGUGACAUUCUUUCUUGGCAACAAUUGAGUAUCUGUACAUAAGAUUUGACCAGGAGUGGAAGUGGGAGAACCAAAGAGGUUGUUUUCUCAGGUGAAGACUCAUUCUGCCUGAGAAUGGGAAUCACCAAAGAGGCCCUGGCUGGACUCAAGAACUUGCCUCUUGCUACUUCUCUUGCCCAGAUAUUUGCUCCCUCCCCAGUCUGGCCCAGAUUUAACCAUCAUUUGUUCAUGGAGUCUUCCCUCACCCUCCAGACUAAGUUGCUCCCUGACUGACCAUUACUGUUUAUUUGUAAUAAUAAUAUCAAGCACUUGCCCAAUGCAGGGAUUUAAAUUAGAAUUAAAAAGAGACUUUUUAAUUAUACUUAAUGGUUCCCCAGAAAGUGUUUAUUUUUUAAAAUGUUGAACUAUCCUCAGGGCCAAGAUAAUAUUGGAAGGCUGAGAAUCUUAGAGAAAAUUCCAUUCUUCAUUUUAUGUGUGUUUCUACUGUUUCUGGAGCAAAUACCUAGAGAUGCUCUUGAACGUGUCUCCAAAGAGAAUACCUGGGCAAUAUAUUGCAGUAUUCUUCAUCAUGGCAAAAACAAACAAAAGCAAAGUAAAAUGUCAAUGAUAGGAGAAUCAAUGUGCAAAUUGUGGUAUAUUCAAGCACUACAAUUCUGUAAUAAGCCCCUCCCCCACACAGCAUAUAUUCAUGUUCCCAUGGAUGAAUCUCUAAUAUACUGGUACAUAAAAAUUGCAGAAUUAUAUUGACAAAAAUGGUAUUGUUUAUAUGAUGUUUAAAAACAUCCCCAAAUACUAUAUUUUAUUUAUGUGUUCAUGUGGCGUGAAAGCAUGAACAUGAACAGAGAGGACACGUAGACCAAUUUCCAAAUUGUGGUUCCACUGUGAAGGAGGGUACCAUGAUGGAGACGAGGAGCAAACGGGUCUUCCACUGACAAUGAUGAUGUUGAUGAAGAUGGCGUGAUGUGUGAUACUUCCACUAGAAUCCAUGACACUUUCUGGAGAGCUGAAGCAAAGAUGAUGAAUGUUCUCACUUGCUAAAUUUAAGUGGAGUGUGUGUGUGUGUGCGUGCAUGUGUGUGUGUGAUCACUUUUGGAACAUUCCCGUAUGUUUGAAAUAUUUCAUAGAUAAAUAGUGUUGGUCUUUUGAUGGACUUGAUGAAGAGAUUUUACAAAACUUUUUAUAAGCAUCAGAAUCUCUCAUAAUAGAUGGAAUUCUUGAGUCCAGAUAAAAGGGUCAUGCAGAAGCUGUGAGAGCGAUUAUGGGACUUUGUGAUAGGUUAUGACAGAAAUCGUGAUGUGUGCUUCCUGCCUGCUCUUUGCCCUUCUCCAGACCUGUGCCAUGGACACCUAGAUACCUCCUCAUGCUCAGUUCCCUGCAGGCGUCGCUGGGGAUUGGAAGUCUUAGAGGGAUCCAUUAUCUGAUGGAGAAAGCGAGAGGGACUCUUUCAUGUGCUGGAUAAGAGCAACCAUUCAGUGUCCCAGAUAGAGAAACUGAUUUAGAAUGUCUGAAGGGAACCGUCCUCUGAAUUAGUCCCACCUCUAAAGAAUUAUUUAAAUGCCAUCUCAUUGCCUCUGAGUUCCUUUUAUGAAUAAAAAGGGUAUUACUGAGUUUAAGAAGAUGAGUUAAUUAAUGAAGUAUAAUUCCCAGAAAGCCUCUCUGACAUACUUUUAAAACCCAGGUAGGUGUAAUCCCAUCAUUUAAAACUUUGAAUGUGAGACUGGAAAAUAAUAUUCUGAUUGUAGGAUACAGUAACCCCAACAAGGGCACUGGAGUGGAGGGAAGGGGAGCUGGGAAGGGAGAGAAGGUCAGGCACUGGGAGAACCAACAGUCAUGAGGAAUGAGACUCAGCCUGGCCCUGAGUCACAGUGGACAGCAGAGGGGACCAGGGAGAUGGUUUUAGGUGAACAUAUGGAUGAGUUGCCAACAGCCAGCGUCUCUGACAGGGAACCAGCUGGCAGCUCACCGCUGUCCAGCACCUAAGGCAGCCUCCAUCGUGGGUGAAUAAACAAAGUCCGGGUGUCCAUCUGUCCGAGAUAUUGCUAAAGGGGUUUCUCCAUGGGGUGGCAUCUCGGACUUUCCAAAUAGGAUUCUGUCAUGAUUUGUGUUAACGUUAUGCAUCAUGAAAUAAUUGCUUGACCAAGGACUUAGAGGGAGCCAUUAAGUAAGUGAUUGUUUAUUUUAUUUAUUUGCUUCUUUUUUUCUCUUCUUUUUUUCGAGACAGGGUCUUGCUUUGUUAACCAGGCUGGAGUGUAGCGGCAUGAUCAUGGCUCACUGCAGCCUUGAUCUGCUGGGCUCAAGCAAUCCUCCUCCCGAAUAGCUGGGACCACAGGCACACACCACCACGCUCUGCUGAUUUUUUUUAAGAGUCAGGUCUCACUUUGUUGCCCAGGCUGAGAUAGUUUCUUAGCCCAUUGGGUUGAUAAUUGAUUCUGUUUACCUAUAAAGUCCCGAAUAUCGGGGUGCAAAUAAAUAAAUCUAAGUUUUGGCCCAGUAAGGGCUACAUUGGCCAAAGCUUCAUGAUCACAGUUUCAAAAUGUGAACCAGAUGUUUGCUUAUAUCUGCCAAGCAACAGAAAGUAACCUCCCCAUUAGACAGAAGCGGCAGGUAGCAGCAGCCCCGCAGUCUGCUACGUGAGGCCACUCGGGACGAAACCCUUCCUUCCUCCUUCCCUGGAGAGACAGUCACAAUCCUGGCCUUCACCGCAGGCUUGCUCUGCUAGCUCAGAUAAAGCGGAAGCAUGAGAUAAACGCCUUUCAAGGAGGG